rnacentral:misc_RNA from 1 species
AAUAAAAGUAAGUCAAAACGUUGUCGUUAAAAUUAGCAGACGAUGUAAAAGAUAUCCGUUAAAAUGCGAUUUCCUGAAGUCAUCUACCUCGUCAUUUUAACGUGCUCAUAUGUUUCCUUGAAAGAUUUAAGUGUGUCGGAAUUUCUCAGUGAAGAAGAAGCGCGGUUGCAAAAGCUUGGGAAAAGCUGUCCAGUAAAAUCGAAGCUACAACGGAAAAAGAUUGAUUCACUGAGGCUGAUAUCAGAACAUGAUGAUAACAGUGUACAGUGCAUCAUCAAAUUUCUGAAGGACAAUCUGAAAGAUGGCAUACUCUGGUCUGCACUAGGGAAAAUUUAUGAUGCAAAAGGCAAAAAGUUUUCUGCUCAGGCUAAUGUCUGUUUCAGACAAGCAUCAAAAGUUACAGGAAAGUUUCCAAAGUUUAUACAAGAUUGGGAUUAUAUAGGCCCUUUUGUUAUUGGAAAGACAGAGUUUGAUGGUGAUCCAUUAGAAGCAUUUGGAGGAAUAUACAAUGUGUCACAAUUUCGCUUUGAAUCUGGGGUAACUUACCCAUCUGAACUGGCACCACAUGGGAAAGUGGAAUGGGUGUCAGUGAAGCAAAGGGCAGCUGACAAACCUGUGAUAGUGUCACCUAACAUCAACUGGAAUGAACUAGUUAAAGCACUGGGUUCAUUGGGGAUUACUGAAUGGCAAGGGUGGAUUGUUGGAGAGCUUCCUGUCACACAAAAUGACAUGACUGUGCUGGUACAGUGCAAGGGAGUAAGCACCAUCUAUAUCGGUGGCAUUCCCAUCAUAGGUGAUGUCUAUCACAGGGACAUGUUUAAAUCUGCUGUCAGGCUUCAGCGGGGUGUUCACCUGGUAACCGUUCGACUUAGGGCCGUUGUGCAGGCUAACAUCCAGUGCUUAUUCCAUACUCCCCCAAAAGAGGGGUUUGAGAUCCUGCCACCAAACUUUCAACCUGAUCUGUAUGAUGGCUACCUGUUUAGUGUCUACCUGCCCAUCCUAGUGGCUAAUUAUAAACUUGAAAGGUGGUUGCACAUUAGCAAAGUGACUGUUGAAGAUCAGUCUUAUGGACAAGCUAGUCUGGAUGCUAUGCUUUCAAAUAAGUAUGACAUUGCUCCUGGGCAGAUUCAGUUUCUCAUUGUCAAACUGUCAAGUUCUUCCCCUUUAAUCAGCAAGGACUGUGAACCAGUUGGUAUCACUCUUGUUUUAAAAACAUCAGAAGGCCAGGGAAGGCUGCCUUUGACACUUAGAUGUCGGAAAAAGGGAGAAUCAUUUUUAUUUACAUUCUUAGACCAUGAUGGGUCUGUGCAGCAUGCUGCGGCUAUUGAACCAUUGGGCACCUGUUCAAAGAUCUUAUGUCCUGUCCUGCUGACGCUUCAUGGCACCACCGUUCCACCUCAGAACCAGGCAGACAGCUACAAAAGAAUGGUCAGAGACAAGUUCUUGUUUGGUGUGGAAGGAAUGUGGCUGUUGGCUCCCACAAGGCAUGGGGCACAUAACUGGGAGGGACCAGGUGCUUUGACUGCCAUGACAUCCUUGGAAUCUCUUUCUGCCUUGACCCAUGAACAUGAGUGGCUGGAAAAAAAAGCAAACACACACCAUAUCUUAUUUGAAGGCCAUUCUAUGGGAGGUCAUGGUGCUUGGCACCUUGUCACUCAUUAUCCUGACAGGGCCAUUGGGCUAGCAGUAUUGGCUGGCUGGAUAAAAAAGGAGGAGUAUGGAGAUAGCAAUCUGUUCUUCAGACAUGACAUAUCCACCAGUCACACAGAUCCUGCUGUUAAAUUCAUAAUGGAGGCCUGUAUUGGAGAGAAUGAUGCUGACAAACAUAUUAAAAAUCUUCAGGGCAUUCCAAUACUGUGUCGCGUUGGUUCUCAAGACAGAACUGUCCACCCAUUCUUUUCUCGAAGAAUGAUACGGCUUCUGCAAGAGCAAGGCAGUCAUGUUGUGUACUCAGAGCUGGAGGGACGAGAACACUGGUGGUGGGACACUUGGGAAACGAAUGAUGGUGGUGUGGUAAACGAUGGAGAGAUGCGAGCUUUUGCCAGCCAGUGUUUGUCAUCAUUAACACUGAAUGCAGGAGAUACGUGCAAUGCAGAUUCAUGUGGGAUGGAUGUUGAACCUGAAGAAAAACACUGGCAAGGGUCAAAUGAGAACCAUCAAGAGGUUGCAGAACUUGUGACAGUGAAUCCUGCUCUGGGUGAAGGUUUGCGGGGAGUGAGAAUACUACAGCAGAUAGUUCCAUUCAGAACCAGCAGAGUGAAGAUUGUUAUCACAAGGAGAAAGGUCCAUCUUUGGACAGCUAAUGUGAAGAGACUGACUAUAAAGGAACCGCCCAACAGACCAGUUGGCUGGGUUCAAAGAUUGAUCAUGACGAACCUAUACCACAGGAUAAUCUGCUGCAAGUUCUUGCAUCAGAUACUGCUCAUUUUUGUAGAGCUACAGCAGGUCAGUGGAAACUCUGCAUUGAUGAUAUUAGUAGUCUGGGGGAGAGGGGCCCUUUGACACUUGGUCCAGCACGGCGUAUUGCAGAGAGAAAUUUUGUCAUCAUAACAGGGACGCAAGGGAAAAAAGAGAUCACACAGGCUAUUCUUGCAUUUGCUGUUUACAUAGGAAACCUGUUUCUCAUGUUGUCUGAUACCUAUGCACCUGUUGUGAGAGAUGUAGAUGUUUCGGCCUCUCAGCUCC